UUGUUUGGGGUUUUUUUCCCCCUGCAGUUACAUUUUCAACAGCUACACAAAGCAGCUUUCCCUUCUCAGAAAACUGCAGAAUUUUAAGCCUAAUCAGUCCGUGAGACAAAGAUAAGCAUCUUCUGCUUCAUGAUGGAAAUCAACCUGAUUUUGCAAUUGAUGAUUUGUAAAGCUACACACCAAGUACAAACCUGACACCCUGGACAAGCACCAGCUCCUGACACAGUAAACAAACUUUGACAGCCAUGGAACUGAACUGUGCACUGUUUCCAUUUGCCAUACAACUUCCUUGUGGAUAAAAGCACCAAAUGGAUUGCAAUACAUGCCUGAGCACUGCUGGUUUAGAUCAUUUUCCACAAAGCAUCUCAUCUUAGAUGUUUCACUUAUAAUGCAAAUAAACAACAAAAGAAGGUCACUAACACGUGACCUUUUGCCUAAAGACGGUGCUUACCCUUGUCAAGAACUUCAUUCCUUCAAAUCCCCUGGGGACUCUCUGCAUGAACGAUUUUGCAUCUGAAAUUCCUUACCUGUAUUCACCUACAUCUGAGCUAACAAACCACCAAAGCUUAAUAAGUUACUCUAGAUUCCAACACUUGGAAGUGAAGUUUGCAGCUGAGCUGGACAGUGACAGAGUGCACUGCUGCUCUCAAUGCUGGUUUUCCCCAUUGCAGAAGGGAUUUGUUCCUCACUGAGGAAUGAUGACCCUGAAAGUUAAACCUAAGCACUGAAUUUCAGCUUUUCACCUGAGUGUUCUGCAAUGUUGUCAAAAAUGCGGUUCAAACACUCUCAUAGUGAUGGUGACAUCCCUUCCUUAAAGGUGUGCUUUCCAAACUCUCUCCUGUACCAUGUAGCUGCUGGAUUUCAAGCCUGGGAGCCCUGGUAUUUUCAGGACCACACCUAACAAUGACUGAAUUUCAUCACAACUCUUUUUGGAACACCUUCACAUCUCCUGACAGCUCAUAGGUGGAGGUUAAAGUAAAGCAAUGUGAAAAGGAGCCACACAAGUCCCUGGCCACCAUUCUGGCAGCGUUCAUCAGAGGCACUGUCUAGCAGGAAUUCAGGAGUUAAAUAUUUUGGCUUUGACAGGAACAUCUGUUUAAGCCAUCUGCACAUUUCCCUUGUGACCACUUGUCCACCAGAAGCUGGGCUAAAGCUAAAGGCAUUUUGUAUAUCAAGAAAUACCUGUCAAAGAAGGAAAAAAGAAGAGCAAAAGGAAAAGACAAGGGAAAAAGGGAAGAGGAACACAAGCAUCCAAAAAAUAACAGCAGAAGGAAUGUCCAACAGAAGGAUAUUCUCAAGAAGACAAAACCAGAAGUCUCAGAGGAGAAAAUGAGAAAGUAAAGGAGAGAUGAAUCCAAGCUGGAACAUUUGGAUCCAUGUGCAAACACAGCCAGUUGAAAGCACAUGACCCCGCCUGGGAGAAGACCCCAGGGCUUGAGUCUCCAUUUGUUUGUUUCUUCCUGGAAACUAAAUAGGUUUCAAUUCAGAUUAGGAUUACAUUGAAGCUUUUUGCUGUGUUACUAUAAUUCCAUAAUUUACUGCAAUAUCACAAGCCCUAUAAAAGUAGUCCUCCGUUUAAAAAGGGGAAUUCUUGUUACACCCAAUAAAAGAAUUAGGAUUCAAGGAAUAAAAUCUUUUCAAUACGAGAUACAAAGUAGAUGUGAUUGUUUCCUGAUUUUUUUUUUUUUUUUUAAUUCAAGACUUAAAUGUUUCUGAAAGGGAAGAGCAUAUCAAAAUCCUUUCUUCCUCCAAUCUCCACCCACAACUCAGUUCAUCAGAAACACAAGCUGGAGCUGGAUCCUGAAAACAUUUACUAUCUAAGUCAAGUUUAGUGUUUACAGCUGGAUCAAUGAAAUGCAGCAGUCAGUCCUUUGAGUAACUCAGAGACCCACACACAUUUAACUCCAAAGGAAGCAUUGGAGGAUAUGUGAGUACAUGCAUGGCUCUAGUUUAGCACUCAAACAUCAGACUUAAAACUCAAAUGUAUUUGCAGGUGCUCAAAAAGUAAUGGACCAAAUGCAAUUUAACCUUUUGAGCUGCAUGUGUGACUGAAACCCAGUUUGAUAAAAUCAUCAUACGUUAGGCUCUUUCCUACACAUCAGAACAAUCAUACCAGCUCCAACUGCUUAAAAGAACAAUUUUUGCUGCCCUCCUUUUGUGUUCUCCAUUUAUCCCAUGUCUCUCAAGCACAGAAACCCAUUAUUAAGUCAGUGUUGUUCAAUAAAAAGGCAGAAAACGGUC